rfam:Pichia kudriavzevii strain SD108 scaffold00001, whole genome shotgun sequence.
GCCUCUUUAGCUUAGUGGUAGAGCGUCGCACUUGUAAUGCGGAGGUCGCUAGUUCAAUUCUGGCAAGUGGCA